CUCCUUUGACGUUAGCGGCGGACGGGUGAGUAACACGUGGGUAACCUACCUAUAAGACUGGGAUAACUUCGGGAAACCGGAGCUAAUACCGGAUAAUAUUUCGAACCGCAUGGUUCGAUAGUGAAAGAUGGUUUUGCUAUCACUUAUAGAUGGACCCGCGCCGUAUUAGCUAGUUGGUAAGGUAACGGCUUACCAAGGCGACGAUACGUAGCCGACCUGAGAGGGUGAUCGGCCACACUGGAACUUAGACACGGUCCAGACUCCUACGGGAGGCAGCAGAG
rnacentral:rRNA from 1 species